UGGGGAAUAUUGCGCAAUGGGGAGAACCCUGACGCAGCCAUGCCGCGUGAAUGAAGAAGGCCUUAGGGUUGUAAAGUUCUUUCGGUAUUGAGGAAGGUUGAUGUGUUAAUAGCACAUCAAAUUGACGUUAAAUACAGAAGAAGCACCGGCUAACUCCGUGCCAGCAGUCGCGGUAAUACGGAGGGUGCGAGCGUUAAUCGGAAUAACUGGGCGUAAAGGGCACGCAGGCGGUUAUUUAAGUGAGGUGUGAAAGCCCCGGGCUUAACCUGGGAAUUGCAUUUCAGACUGGGUAACUAGAGUACUUUAGGGAGGGGUAGAAUUCCACGUGUAGCGGUGAAAUGCGUAGAGAUGUGGAGGAAUACCGAAGGCGAAGGCAGCCCCUUGGGAAUGUACUGACGCUCAUGUGCGAAAGCGUGGGGAGCAAACAGGAUUAGAUACCCUGGUAGUCCACGCUGUAAACGCUGCCGAUUUGGGGGUUGGGGUUUAACUCUGGCGCCCGUAGCUAACGUGAUAAAUCGACCGCCUGGAGAGUACGGCCGCAAGGUUA
rnacentral:rRNA from 1 species